ensembl:lncRNA
GCUGCAAGACACAAGUACAACUGGACAGACAGACAGGUUCCUCAUAGCAAAGGGACUAGGGGAUAGAGAGAGACAGACAGGUUCCUCAUAGCAAAUGGACUGGGGGAUAGAGAGAGACAGACAGGGUCCUCAUAGCAAAUGGACUAGGGGAUAGAGAGAGAGAGACAGGGUCCUCAUAGCAAAUGGACUGGGGGAUAGAGAGAGAGAGAGAGAGAGAGAGAGAGAGACAGGGUCCUCAUAGCAAAUGGACAGGGAGAUAGAGAGAGACAGACAGGUUCCUCAUAGCAAAUGGACUGGGGGAUAGAGAGAGACAGACAGGUUCCUCAUAGCAAAGGGACUGGGGG